UUGUAUUUUUACCUGGAUCUUCUCACAAUAUAACUUGGAGAUUUGAAGUUACCUCAUCCAUAAUUGUACGUGUUUGAUCCUUUAUCCCUCGUGGUUCUACUGCUGCACAACGACUUGUAACGAUAACUGGUAAUGGUGAACCGCGAUAUGAUUCAUCACCUUUAACAUUUCAAGUUUUUGAACCUGAAACUCUGAUGUUAAAGAAUGUCGAUCAAACAGUGGUGUUUACACAUUUACUAUCGUAGCUAAUACUGUUGACACACAAAGAAAGUAAAUGUUUAUAUUGCCUACAGAAUACAAGAUGGAAAAGUUUGGCUUCCUUUCAUUUCUUUUGUUCUGUUGGAUUUCAUCUUGUCAAGGUAUUUAUUAGUUUAUUAGAUCAUUAAGGAAGUAAAUGGUUAUUUUUGUCAAAUAAAACUGUGGAAUUUGCUUAGAAAUUUAAGGUAUAUUGACUAAAAAAUUUACUUAAUUCUUCAUUAUGUGUACAAUGACCAUAACCAGUUCUGCAUUGAAUAAAAUAAUUUAAAAGCAAUACCUUGCAGUAUUUUAGAAGACGAAGAGUGUUUUUUACCUUCCAAAUACAUGCAUGUAAUGGUUAUUUAGCAAAUAAGUAAGAAUAUCUCAUUCAUGAUUCGACAACAGAAUCUUUUGUGGUAAAAAGUGAUAACACUUGUUCUUGUGCAAUAAUAUCAAAUGUGUUUCAUCAUUAUAAAAUAUGUUGCUCUAUGUGGCUGAAGUGCAAAUCUAAAUUAUAAAUUAUUGAAUAUUUA